rnacentral:lncRNA from 10 species
UGUGCCUUCUCAUCUAUAAUCAAACUUUGUUCCCAAGUACAUCUAGUUUAGAUAUUAGUCCAGAAGUAAAAAGUGAAAGGGAGUGAGAAAAGUUUGAGCAACACAAUCAACUUACAAAAAGCCAGGAGAAAAAAUACAAAAAGCGGCCAGGAAAAAGCAGCACAACCCAGAAUUUCUGCAGAUCCCUGAGUUUUUGGUCUAAUGUGGGUGCUUCUUCAGAAUUUUGUUUUUAAGAUCCAUCCUGUUGUGGGAAGUCAGGGACCCCGAACGGAGGGACCGGCUGAAGCCAUGGCAGAAGCAUGGAAAUUGUGAAGAUUUCAUGGACAUUUAUUAAUUCCCCAAAUUAACACUUUUAUCAUUUCUUACGCCUGUCUUUACUGCAAUCUCUGAACAUAAAUUGUGAAGAUUUCAUGGACAUUUAUCACUUCCCCAAUCAAUAUUCUUGUGAUUUCCUAUGUCUGUCUUUACUUUAAUCUCUUAAUCCUGUCAUCUUCGUAAGCUGAGGAUGUAGGUCGCCUCAGGACCCUGUGAUGAUUGCGUUAACGGCACAAAUUGUUUAAACGAUAUGAAAUCUAGGCACCUUGAAAAAAGAACAGGAUAACAGCGAUGUUCAGGGAAUAAGGGAGAUAACCAUUAGGUCUGGCUGCCUGAGAGCUGGGUGGAACAGAGCCAUAUUUCUCUUCUUUCAAAAGCAAAUAGGAGAAAUAUCGCUGAAUUCGUUUUCUCAGCAAGAAACAGCCCUGAGAAAGAGAAUGCGUUCCUAGGGGGAGGUCUCUGAAAUGGCUGCUCUGGGACUGUCUCUCUUUUACAGUUGUAGAUAAGGGAUGAAAUAAGCCCCGGUCUCCCUUAGUGCUCCCAGGCGUACUAUGUACCAGGAUGAGGAAAUUCCCGCCUAAUAAAUUUUGGUCAGACUGGUUGUCUGCUCUCAAAUCCUGUCUCCUGAUAAGAUGUUAUCAAUGACAAUGCAUGCCCGAAACUUCAUUAGCAAUUUUAAUUUCGGCCCGGUCCUGCGAUCUUGCCCUGCCUCCAUUUGUCUUGUAAUAUUUUAUUACCUUGUGAAGCAUGUGAUCUCUGUGACCCACAGCCUAUUCGUACACUCUCUCCCCUUUGAAAAUCACUAAUAAAAACUUGCUGGUUUUGCGGCUUGUGGGGCAUCACGGCACCUGCCGACAUGUGAUGUCUCCCCCGGAUACCCAGCUUUAAAAUUUCUCUCUUUUGUACUCUUUCCCUUUAUUUCUCAGACUGGCCAACACUUAGGGAAAUAGAAAAGAACCUACGUGAAAUAACAUUGAAUUAUUGGGGGCGGGUUCCCCCAUACAUCCAUACUGUUAUGUGGACAAUCUGUUGCUUCAGUUGGCUGCAGAACACUUAAUGUGUUUCCU